rnacentral:rRNA from 1 species
AUUGAACGCUAGCGGGAUGCUUUACACAUGCAAGUCGAACGGCAGCGCGGACUUCGGUCUGGCGGCGAGUGGCGAACGGGUGAGUAAUGUAUCGGAACGUGCCCAGUAGCGGGGGAUAACUACGCGAAAGCGUAGCUAAUACCGCAUACGCCCUACGGGGGAAAGCAGGGGAUCGUAAGACCUUGCACUAUUGGAGCGGCCGAUAUCGGAUUAGCUAGUUGGUGAGGUAACGGCUCACCAAGGCGACGAUCCGUAGCUGGUUUGAGAGGACGACCAGCCACACUGGGACUGAGACACGGCCCAGACUCCUACGGGAGGCAGCAGUGGGGAAUUUUGGACAAUGGGGGCAACCCUGAUCCAGCCAGCCCGCGUGUGCGAUGAAGGCCUUCGGGUUGUAAAGCACGUUUGGCAGGAAAGAAACGUCGCGGGCUAAUACCCCGUGGAACUGACGGUACCUGCAGAAUAAGCACCGGCUAACUACGUG